GCCCGUAUAGCUCAGUGGUAGAGCGUCAGUCUUGUAAACUGAAGGUCCGUAAUUCGAUCCUGCGUGUGGGCA
rfam:Brassica oleracea var. oleracea cultivar TO1000 chromosome C3, whole genome shotgun sequence